AUUGAACGCUGGCGGCAUGCCUUACACAUGCAAGUCGAACGGCAGCACGGGAGCAAUCCUGGUGGCGAGUGGCGAACGGGUGAGUAAUAUAUCGGAACGUGCCCAGUCGUGGGGGAUAACGUAGCGAAAGCUACGCUAAUACCGCAUACGAUCUACGGAUGAAAGCGGGGGAUCGCAAGACCUCGCGCGAUUGGAGCGGCCGAUAUCAGAUUAGCUAGUUGGUGAGGUAAAGGCUCACCAAGGCGACGAUCUGUAGCUGGUCUGAGAGGACGAACAGCCACACUGGAACUGAGACACGGUCCAGACUCCUACGGGAGGCAGCAGUGGGGAAUUUUGGACAAUGGGCGCAAGCCUGAUCCAGCAAUGCCGCGUGCAGGAUGAAGGCCUUCGGGUUGUAAACUGCUUUUGUACGGAGCGAAACGGUCUUCUCUAAUACAGGGGGCUAAUGACGGUACCGUAAGAAUAAGCACCGGCUAACUACGUGCCAGCCGCCGCGGUAA
rnacentral:rRNA from 1 species